rnacentral:rRNA from 1 species
GAUGAACGCUGGCGGCGUGCCUAAUACAUGCAAGUCGAGCGAACAGACGAGGAGCUUGCUCCUCUGACGUUAGCGGCGGACGGGUGAGUAACACGUGGAUAACCUACCUAUAAGACUGGGAUAACUUCGGGAAACCGGAGCUAAUACCGGAUAAUAUAUUGAACCGCAUGGUUCAAUAGUGAAAGACGGUUUUGCUGUCACUUAUAGAUGGAUCCGCGCCGCAUUAGCUAGUUGGUAAGGUAACGGCUUACCAAGGCAACGAUGCGUAGCCGACCUGAGAGGGUGAUCGGCCACACUGGAACUGAGACACGGUCCAGACUCCUACGGGAGGCAGCAGUAGGGAAUAGUCCGCAAUGGGCGAAAGCCUGACGGAGCAACGCCGCGUGAGUGAUGAAGGUCUUCGGAUCGUAAAACUCUGUUAUUAGGGAAGAACAAAUGUGUAAGUAACUAUGCACGUCUUGACGGUACCUAAUCAGAAAGCCACGGCUAACUACGUG